rnacentral:rRNA from 1 species
CCCUUAGAUGUUCUGGGCCGCACGCGCGCUACACUGAUGCAUUCAACGAGUCUAAAACCUGCUCUGAUAGGGGUGGGUAAUCUUUUGAAUGUGCAUCGUGAUUGGGAUAGAUGAUUGCAAUUUUUCAUCUUCAACGAGGAAUGCCUAGUAAACGCAAGUCAUCAGCUUGCAUUGAUUACGUCCCUGCCCUUUGUACACACCGCCCGUCGCUCCUACCGAUUGAAUGAGCCGAUGAAUAUCAUGGAUUGAGGAUGCAAGUAGGUUCGCCUAUCUUCAUCUUCGAGAAGUGAAGUAAAUCUUAUCAUUUAGAGGAAGGAGAAGUCGUAACA